UCCCCCGUCAUUUUGUUUCUCGUUUCCUCCAAUUUCCCGAUUCAGCAUCCUACUCGUCCUCCUCCUGCCUCAGCCUCAGCCUCGGCGUUUCUCAGCUCAGCUGGGUUUCCGGCGAGAUGUUUCGACUCGAUUUUAUUUUUCGGAGGGAUAGAGAGAUGCAGCAGAGGAAAUUGGGGAGCCCUUCUGGAACUGAUGGUUCUGAUUUCUCCUAUCACAUGGUUGUUGAUUCUAGGUAUACAAAAGUAGCCAAGGGAAAGUCUCAUGAUCUCAUCUCUUUUCACUGAUCUUAAUCCAGGUGAUCCAGAACCAUCUGAAUGGAAGGCAAAGAAAUUUGAAGUUAUUGAGAUAGCUUGUAUUUUGGUUGGUUGGAUUGCUGGUGCAGAUAUUCACGAUCAGCAUCACAGAAAGCUUCGUAGUGACCGUUUUUCAGUAUUACCUCUUGCGAGAAGUCCUAAAAGGGGAAAUCCAUCUUUUUCUUUCCCCCUCUCUAUUUUCACUUGCUUUAUGUUGUGCAUCUUUGAGUUAUAUGAAAUUAUUAAUACACAAACUUCUGCUAGUUAUUUUUUUUAGCUUAUAGAGAACUCACAAUCUGUAACCCAAGUAAUAUUGGGCUAUCGGGAAUGGAUCGGGUAUUUGAGUGGCAUAAUGACAUCAAUGUCGGAACAUGGAAGCCCCGAACUUGGUUUUCUCUUGCACUUCAGAAUAAUAUCCCUAAUUCUAACCUCUGUUUUUGAAGUUGUCAUUAUUCGUAUGCUCGUUGGAGGCGAAAUUGAAAUGUGUCUAAUAAUUGAAGCUGCAGAGCCAAUGGGUGUCUUUUGAUAAUGUUGUCAAAAUCUCCCUUUCAUUCUGAAUGGAUGAGAUGAUUCAAGGGCUUGGUCUGAAUGAGCGGAAGACCAUGUGCCACAAAUAUUCUGUGGGACUGUGUUAAGUGUUAACUACUGUUUUUAGGAUAGACAAUGAAAGUGCUUGUAUCCGUGAACUUUAUCAUGACUGGAACUGAUGAUUGUAGUGAAUUUCAGCCGGUUAAUCAUAAGCAGGUUGUGACACAGAGUUCACGAGAACACUGCAUGUGCUUCAGUUUUCAA